UACGUAGGGUGCGAGCGUUGUCCGGAAUUACUGGGCGUAAAGAGCUCGUAGGUGGUUUGUCGCGUUGUUCGUGAAAACUCACAGCUUAACUGUGGGCGUGCGGGCGAUACGGGCAGACUGGAGUACUGCAGGGGAGACUGGAAUUCCUGGUGUAGCGGUGGAAUGCGCAGAUAUCAGGAGGAACACCGGUGGCGAAGGCGGGUCUCUGGGCCGAUACUGACGCUGAGGAGCGAAAGCGUGGGGGGCGAACAGG
rnacentral:rRNA from 1 species